rnacentral:rRNA from 1 species
ACUCAAAUGAAUAGACGGGGGGCCGCACAAGCGGUGGAGCGUGUGGUUUAAUUCGACGCUAAGCGAAGAACCUUACCAGGGCUUGACAUCCCGGUCGUAUCUCGUGGAAACACGAGAGUCAGUUCGGCUGGAUCGGUGACAGGUGCUGCAUGGUCGUCGUCAGCUCGUGUCGUGAGAUGUUGGGUUAAGUCCCGCAACGAGCGCAACCCUCGUCGUGUGUUGUAUUUUUCACACGAGACUGCCUCGGUUAACGAGGAGGAAGGCGAGGAUGAUGUCAGAUCAGCAUGGCCCUUAUGCCCUGGGCGACACACGCGCUACAAUGGCCGGCGCAAUGGGACGCGAAGCCGCAAGGUGGAGCAAAUCCCGCAAUGCCGGUCUCAGUUCGGAUUGGAGGCUGCAACUCGCCUCCAUGAAGUCGGAAUCGCUAGUAAUCGCAGGUCAGCCAUACUGCGGUGAAUACGUUCUCGGCCCUUGUACACACCGCCCGU